rnacentral:snRNA from 1 species
AUCACUUCUUGGCCUUUUGGCUGAGAUCAAGUAUAGUACAUGUUCUUAUCAGUUUAAUAUCUGAUACAUGUUCUAUCUGAAGAAAACGUAUAAAACAGAUUUUUGGAACACAGAGAUGGCAUAGGAGCUUGCUCCAUCUACUCUAUGCAUCGACCUGGUAUUGUGCUUCUAGGAAUGGUGCACCCAAA